CCUGGUUGAUCUUGCCAGUAGUCAUAUGCUUGUCUCACAGAUUAAGCCAUGCAAGUGAAAGUACAUAUGUAAGUAAUAUAUUGAAACUGCGAACGGCUCAUUAAAACAGUUAUAAUCUACUUGAUGUUUUUAAUAUAAGGAUAACUACGGAAAAUCUGUAGCUAAUACUUGUGAAAAUACCUUUUGAUAUAUACAUAUGUAUGUAUCAUUAAGGUAUGUAUUUGUUAGAUAUAAGAAUAAAAUAAAUAUAAUUGAAUUAUAACAAAGAAGAAACACAUAAAAUAUGUGUAUUAUCAAUCGAGUAUCUGACCUAUCAGCUUUUGAUGUUAGGGUAUUGACCUAACAUGGCUAUGACGGGUAACGGGGAAUUAGAGUUCGAUUCCGGAGAGGGAGCCUGAGAAAUAGCUACCACAUCUAAGGAAGGCAGCAGGCGCGUAAAUUACCCAAUUCUAAAAAAGAGAGGUAGUGACAAGAAAUAACAAUACAAUAUCGAAAAAUGAUUUUGUAAUUGGAAUGAUAGGAAUUUACAAGGUUCCUAGAGAAACAAUUGGAGGGCAAGUCUGGUGCCAGCAGCCGCGGUAAUUCCAGCUCCAAUAGCAUAUAUUAAAAUUGUUGCAGUUAAAACGUUCGUAGUUGAAUAUUAAAGAAUCCGAUGUUUCAUUUAAACUGGUUUGGGAAAACCAAAUAUAUUAUAUAUUUUGCUUUGUUCAAAAUAAGGUUUUCUAAUAAAUUAUGUUUUUAUCAGAUAUGACAGAAUCUUUUUUAAAAUCUCUUCAAUAUGCUUUUAUUGCUUUUGAGAGGUUUUGUUACUUUGAGUAAAAUUAAGUGUUCAUAACAGACGGGUAGUCAUGAUUGAGUUCAUUGUGUUUGAAUACUACAGCAUGGAAUAACAAAUAUGAAUAAGCUAAUUAUUUUUUUUUUUCAUAAUUUUUUUUGAUAUUCUUAUUAGCUUAGUUACGAUUAAUAGGAGUAGCUUUGGGGGCAUUCGUAUUCAGAUGUCAGAGGUGAAAUUCUAAGAUUUUCUGGAGACGGACUACUGCGAAAGCAUUUGCCUAAUCUAUUUCCAUUAAUCAAGAACGAAAGUUAAGGGAGUGAAGACGAUCAGAUACCGUCGUAAUCUUAACCAUAAACUAUACCGACUAGGUGUUGGAUGAAUAUAAAAAAUAUAUAAAUAUGUAGCAUUUCUUAGGGAAUGUUGAUUUUAUAUUAGAAUUGCUUCCUUCAGUACCUUAUGAGAAAUCAAAGUCUUUGGGUUCUGGGGCGAGUAUUCGCGCAAGCGAGAAAGUUAAAAGAAUUGACGGAAGGGCACCACCAGGCGUGGAGCUUGCGGCUUAAUUUGACUCAACACGGGAAAACUCACUAGUUUAAGACAAGAGUAGGAUUGACAGAUUAAUAGCUCUUUCUUGAUUUCUUGGAUGGUGAUGCAUGGCCGUUUUUAGUUCGUGAAUAUGAUUUGUCUGGUUAAUUCCGAUAACGAACGAGAUCUUAACCUGCUAAUUAGCGGUAAGUACACUAUAUUUUUAUUUGAAAUUGAAUAUAGGUAAUUAUACAUGUUUAUUCAGUGUUCAAAUUAGGAUAUUUUUUUUAUUAAAAUAUUCUUUUCCCUGUUCUACUAUAAUAAUUUGUUUUUUUUUACUCUAUUUCUCUCUUCUUUUAAGAAUGUACUUGUUUGAUUAAAUAAAGCUUCUUAGAGGAACAGUGUGUAUCUAACACAAGGAAGUUUAAGGCAACAACAGGUCUGUGAUGUCCUUAGAUAAACUAGGCUGCACGCGUGCUACAAUGAUAUAUAUAACAAGUUGUUAAAAAUGUACUUAUAAAUAAGUGUGUACAGUUUUUCCUGUACUGAAAAGUAUAGGUAAUCUUUAUCAGUAUAUAUCGUAAUUGGGAUAGAUUAUUGCAAUUAUUAAUCUUGAACGAGGAAUGCCUAGUAAGCAUGAUUCAUUAGAUUGUGCUGACUACGUCCCUGCCCUUUGUACACACCGCCCGUCGCUCCUACCGAUUGAAAGAUAUGAUAAAUUGUUUGGAUAUGAAUUAAAAUAAUGAAAUUUUAUAUUUCUGAUUUUUUCUAGAAGAACUGUAAAUCCUAUCUUUUAAAGGAAGGAGAAGUCGUAACAAGGUUUCCGUAGGUGAACCUGCGGAAG
rnacentral:rRNA from 1 species